AUGAACGCUAGCUACAGGCUUAACACAUGCAAGUCGAGGGGAAACGGCAUCGAAAGCUUGCUUUUGAUGGGCGUCGACCGGCGCACGGGUGAGUAACGCGUAUCCAACCCGCCCAUCACUUGGGAAUAACCUUGCGAAAGUAAGACUAAUGCCCAAUGACAUCCCACGAAGGCAUCCGAAUGGGAUUAAAGAUUUAUCGGUGAUGGAUGGGGAUGCGUCUGAUUAGCUUGUUGGCGGGGUGACGGCCCACCAAGGCAACGAUCAGUAGGGGUUCUGAGAGGAAGGUCCCCCACAUUGGAACUGAGACACGGUCCAAACUCCUACGGGAGGCAGCAGUGAGGAAUAUUGGUCAAUGGGCGAGAGCCUGAACCAGCCAAGUAGCGUGCAGGAUGACGGCCCUAUGGGUUGUAAACUGCUUUUAUAAGGGAAUAAAGUGGGUCACGUGUGACUUUUUGCAUGUACCUUAUGAAUAAGGACCGGCUAAUUCCGUG
rnacentral:rRNA from 1 species